rnacentral:rRNA from 1 species
AUUGAACGCUGGCGGCAUGCCUAACACAUGCAAGUCGAGCGAGCGGCGGCUGGGUGAGUAAUGCCUGGGAAUCGUCCAUUCGAGGGGGAUAACAGUUGGAAACGACUACUAAUACCGCAUACGUUUGGAUUGCCCAGGUGGGAUUAGCUAGUUGGUAAGGUAAUGGCGGACCAAGUCGAAGAUCCAUAGCGGGUCUGAGAGGAGGAGGAGCCACAAUGGAACUGAGAAACGGCCGAGAAUCCUACGGGAGGAAGCAGUGGGGAAUAUUGCAUAAUGGGCGAAAGCCUGAUGGAGCCAUGCCGCGUGUGUGAAGAAGGCGUUCGGGUUGUAAAGCACUAUCAGCGGGGAGGCGUUACUCGAAGAAGAAGCACCGGCUAACUCCGUGCCAGCAGCCGCGGUAAUAC